rnacentral:lncRNA from 1 species
GGUACCGUACCGACUUAUAGCAGUCCAAACCGUAUCGCAUCGAGUAGUUGGUAAAAGCACCAUACUGUAUCGGUGCCUUACUGACCUGUACCGAUCCAUACCGUACCGUACGUAGCUGUUCAUGCCCGUACCAGAUCGAGAUGUACCAGUACAGUCCGAUUCAUCUCAUUUAUCAAAAAAUCGGCUUGAACUUUGUUGG